rnacentral:lncRNA from 1 species
ACAAGAUGUCAUUUGUUAAAAGCCCGACUUGAAAACUCAAAAUAGGAAGCAAUUCAACGUCGUUUUGAUUGCAUACCUUUAGAGAUAUCACUAACCUAUCAACCCCUACUGCUUUUGAUUUUUAAUAUGUCCUUAAGCUGAUCCGGUCCUGACCUAAGCUCCAAUAAACUGGCGCACUUCUAAGCAUCAUCAAACAUUAAUAUCAUUUUAAGGGCGCAUCAUCACUGGACAUGUAAACGGCUGAGAAAACAUAAUUAGAUGUAUUAAUUUGAUAUUAUUAAUUAUAUAUAUAUAUAUAUAUAUUCUUGUGUAUUCACUUGGUAUAUCAAUUACGUAUAUUUGACCAUUAUAUGUAUAAAAAAAAUAUUGUACGUAGAACACUUUUAAGAAGUCUCAAAAAAAAAUUUGGAGAAAUCAUAAGUGAUAAUUAUAAACCAAGAAGAGGAUAUAACAUUAUAUAUUCAUCAAUAGACGCAUAUAAGAAAAAGAAAAUUGACAGCAGAAAGAUCAAUCAAAUAGAAAUUGAUGCAUUCUCUCUUUAAAGAAGCUUUUUCUCAUCACUCUUUCUUUGUCUCACCCUCCUUGUGUUUCCCCUUCUUCGGCUUGACGAAACAGAAGCAUGAACAACAAGGCAGCUGAAACAAAAACUUCAUCCUGAUUUAUAAUUGCACCAACAGUACAUCGAUGUCUGCCUUUUAUAUUUGAGCUUCAUUGCAAAUGAUAUUAUUAUUUUCCACAUCCAAUUUCAGUUUCUUUUUGGGUUUUCUUUAUUCGUUUCUGCUUUUUGGAUGCUUUUCAAACCAAGUUGAUUCCCCAAGAUAAGAAGAUGCCUCUGCCUCACACAACUUAGC